rnacentral:rRNA from 1 species
GUACUGGCAUUGUUGGUUUCUCCCUUCUGACGAAUCACGAUGUCAUUCAUUUGGUGUUGUGGGGAAUCAGGACUGUUACUUUGAAAAAAUUAGAGUGUUUAAAGCAGGCUCACGCUUGAAUACAUUAGCAUGGAAUAAUGAAAUAGGACGUUUGAUUCUAUUUUGUUGGUUUCUAGGAUCGACGUAAUGAUUAAUAGGGAUAGUUGGGGGCAUUUGUAUUCAAUUGUCAGAGGUGAAAUUCUUGGAUUUAUUGAAGACUAACUACUGCGAAAGCAUUUGCCAAGGAUGUUUUCAUUAAUCAAGAACGAAAGUUAGGGGAUCGAAGACGAUCAGAUACCGUCGUAGUCUUAACCAUAAACUAUGCCGACUAGGGAUCGGAUGAUGUUAAUUUUUUAAUGACUCAUUCGGCGCCUUACG